CAGCGGAGACGCAGGUGUGCUUUCGGGAUCUCUGAGACAGGUGNUGCAUGGCUGUCGUCAGCUCGUNUUGUGAAAUGUUGGGUUAAGUCCCGCAACGAGCGCAACCCUUAUCCUUGUUUGCCAGCGAGUAAUGUCGGGAACUCCAGGGAGACUGCCGGUGAUAAACCGGAGGAAGGUGGGGACGACGUCAAGUCAUCAUGGCCCUUACGAGUAGGGCUACACACGUGCUACAAUGGCGCAUACAGAGGGCAGCAAGCUAGCGAUAGUGAGCGAAUCCCAAAAAGUGCGUCGUAGUCCGGAUUGGAGUCUGCAACUCGACUCCAUGAAGUCGGAAUCGCUAGUAAUCGUGAAUCAGAAUGUCACGGUGAAUACGUUCCCGGGCCUUGUACACACCGCCCGUCACACCAUGGGACGUGGGCUGCAAAAGAAGUGGGUAGUUUAACCUUUCGGGGAGGACGCUCUACACUUUUGUUNAUUG
rnacentral:rRNA from 1 species